UACGUAGGGUGCAAGCGUUGUCCGGAAUUAUUGGGCGUAAAGAGCUCGUAGGCGGUCUGUCGCGUCGGCUGUGAAAUCCCGAGGCUCAACCUCGGGUCUGCAGUCGAUACGGGCAAACUAGAGUAUUGCAGGGGAGACUGGAAUUCCUGGUGUAGCGGUGAAAUGCGCAGAUAUCAGGAGGAACACCGGUGGCGAAGGCGGGUCUCUGGGCAAUAACUGACGCUGGAGGAGCGAAAAGCGUGGGGAGCGAACAGG
rnacentral:rRNA from 1 species